AAACGACUCUYGGCAAMGGAUAUCUAGGSUCUCGCAUCGAUGAAGAACGUAGCAAACUGCGAUACUUGGUGUGAAUUGCAGAAUCCCGUGAACCAUCGAGUUUUUGAACGCAAGUUGCGCCCGAAGCCAUUAGGCCGAGGGCACGUCUGCCUGGGSGUCACGCAUCGCGUCGCCCUCCCCGCCCCUYGA
rnacentral:rRNA from 1 species